GCCUGGGUGGCGAAAUUGGUAGACGCAGCAGACUUAAAAUCUGCCGACCCUUAUUACGGUCGUGCCGGUUCGAUUCCGGCCCUAGGCACCA
rnacentral:tRNA from 1 species